rnacentral:sRNA from 1 species
UGUACACACCGCCCGUCACACCAUGGAAGUUGGUCACGCCCGAAGUCGUUACCCCAACCGCAAGGGGGGGGAUGCCUAAGGUAGGACUGAUGACUGGGGUGAAGUCGUAACAAGGUAGCCGUACCGGAAGGUGUGGCUGGAUCACCUCCUUUUAGGGAGACCUAAUCCAUUUAGAAAUUUCCAGCAAUUUUCAUUGCUAGAAACUAAAUUGGUCUAACCUAGGUCGGUCGAGAUUGGUAGAUAUCUUUCAAAGUAUUAUUCGGCUUAGUUCAAAACUUGAAGCAUCAUAAAUGGAAAAAAGACAGCACCUAACAAUAAAAGUUAGACUGCUGGGUGAAAUCCCAGCCAGAACCUUGAAAACUGCAUAAGGGAACGAGAAAAAGCAGGCAGACACAGACAUGAGAGUGUUUCGUGAAAGCAAAGAAAAAUUGUGGUCAAGCUAAUAAGGGCUAAUGGUGGAUACCUAGGCACACAGAGA